rnacentral:rRNA from 1 species
UACGUAGGGGGCAAGCGUUGUCCGGAUUUAUUGGGCGUAAAGCGCGUGUAGGCGGUUUUGUAGGUCCGUUGUGAAAACUCGAGGCUCAACCUCGAGACGCCGAUGGAAACCAUCAGACUAGAGUCCGGAAGAGGAGAGUGGAAUUCCUGGUGUAGCGGUGAAAUGCGCAGAUAUCAGGAAGAACACCCGUGGCUAAGGCGGCUCUCUAGUACGGUACUGACGCUGAGACGCGAAAGCGUGGGGAGCGAACAGG